CUACGGGGUGCUCCAGUGGGGAAUAUUGCACAAUGGGGGAAACCCUGAUGCAGCAACGCCGCGUGGAGGAUGACGCAUUUCGGUGUGUAAACUCCUUUUAUAUAGGAAGAUAAUGACGGUACUAUAUGAAUAAGCACCGGCUAACUCCGUGCCAGCAGCCGCGGUAAUACGGAGGGUGCAAGCGUUACUCGGAAUCACUGGGCGUAAAGCGCGCGCAGGCGGCCUUUUAAGUUGGAUGUGAAAGCCUAUGGCUUAACCAUAGAACUGCAUCCAAAACUAUCAGGCUAGAGUCUGGGAGGGGAAGAUGGAAUUAGUUGUGUAGGGGUAAAAUCCGUAGAGAUAACUAGGAGUACCAAAAGCGAAGGCGAUCUUCUGGAACAGUACUGACGCUGAGGCGCGAAAGCGUGGGCAGCAAACAGGAUUAGAUACCCCUGUAGUC
rnacentral:rRNA from 1 species